rnacentral:rRNA from 1 species
AACGAACGCUGGCGGCAGGCUUAACACAUGCAAGUCGAGCGAGACCUUCGGGUCUAGCGGCGGACGGGUGAGUAACGCGUGGGAACGUGCCCUUCUCUACGGAAUAGCCCCGGGAAACUGGGAGUAAUACCGUAUACGCUCUUUGGGGGAAAGAUUUAUCGGAGAAGGAUCGGCCCGCGUUGGAUUAGGUAGUUGGUGGGGUAAUGGCCCACCACGCCGACGAUCCAUAGCUGGUUUGAGAGGAUGAUCAGCCACACUGGGACUGAGACACGGCCCAGACUCCUACGGGAGGCAGCAGUGGGGAAUCUUGGACAAUGGGGGCAACCCUGAUCUAGCCAUGCCGCGUGAGUGAUGAAGUCCUUAGGGUUGUAAAGCUCUUUCAGCUGGGAAGAUAAUGACGGUACCAGCAGAAGAAGCCCCGGCUAACUCCGUG